UGACCAUCAAUCUUAUUUCCUUUAAGGCCUUUGAACGAAAACUCUUGGUUCGAACAUUUGAGGAGCUACUUCUCUGAGUCUCAACUCCUACUGUAGGAACUGCCCUCAGAUUUCUUUAGUAGAGGAGUUGAGGGGUAUGACUCCUUGGACUUCUCCCAGAAGCUUAGAGUCCUAACUUUCCUUUGUGAUGAGGCCCUUGGCACCAAAUCACUGAGCAAUUUCAUAGAAAGCCAAAAAGAAAUAUUCUCUAAAAGUAAGAUCGCAGCAAAACGAAAGUAUCUGCUGCGAAGGCUAAGGAGAUAAGUAUCAAGCAGCAGUAGAAAGCAGAGGUGGCCGAGGCCAAGGCAGUUACUGCAGGAGACAAUGCUGCUUCAAUUUCUUCAGAUCACGAAUCUACUGUUUCGCGACUGAAGAGUGAAGCAGCUCAAGAUCAUGCAGAGUUGCUUGAAGCAAAAGCCUU